GCCGGCGCUGCCCGGGCCGGCCCCAGCGCAGGGCACGGCUGAGCCCCUCAGCCCCGGGGAAAGCCUGGCCAAGGGAGGGCAAAACGCUGCCCGGCAGCCAGGGCUGAGCCAGGGGAAGCGAGCGAGAAACAGCGCUGCGAGCCCCGAGGGGACAGCGGGAGCAGGGACGGGGCAGGAGAGGCCCGGCAGGGAUGGCCCUGCGGCCUGGCACAGAGCCCGGCGGGGCGGGCGGACCGCCCGGAGGGAAGCUGCAGCCCCUGGAGAGCCCACGCUGGAGCGAGGUUAUCCUGAAGGAUGACGAAGGCCCCAGGCUGGAGCUCGGGAAGAGCGUGAGGAAGGAACAGCAGAGAAGAGCUGCUAUGGAGUGACCGCAGCCCUUGCGCUGCUCUUCGGGAGGAGUGGUCUGUCUAGAGCAAUUUUCAAGAGUGGUACAUUUCAUAUCCUGCACCUAUAAGUUCUCAGCUUGGACAGUGUCUCACAGAAGCCAGACAGGAAACUAUCAAGACUGGCAAGAAGACAGCUGACAAGAUGAGGAAAAGCUAGAGUAAAUGAAAAGCUCCAGAGACCAGAAAACGAGUGAUGGGAAAACCAUAUAAAAAGCAAAUAGGUGUGAUGGUCAAGGAUUCAAAAAAAAUAAAUAACAAGGGUUCUAGAGGAAAGCAGCAAGUAGAGCAUGCCAGUCAGCACCCACUAAUUUCAGAAGGAAAACAGACAAUUGGUGGAGCUUCACAGCAUGGUGAGAGAGGAAAAUUAGGCACAUUCAAACCCCUGCUGGAAAAAUCCCUGGACAAAUUUUUUUCUUUAAUUUGUCAGUCCCAGGUUAAUCUGAACACCUUGCAACAAUAUAGAAAGGAGCAAAAUAUGGGUAGUUUAGUACAGGAUGAGUUCUGCUGAACAAAUAAGCAAAAGCACAUAGGAAAAGAGGGACCUCAACUAAAGCAUUUUGAAGCUAAAGUACUGUUUGAGGCUGAAAAGAAAGGGACUUGGCCUAAGCAUGGGAAAGCUGAUCCCUGCCAGCUAUAAACAAGGAACAAAUAAAGUGAAUCUAUGUCUUAAACCAUGGGGACAAAUAAAAACAAAUCCUUUAUCUUCCAUACUUUUAAACCAUGAAUUUGAGGAACUUUAACUAGAGGAAGGAAAAACACACCAAUCAAACUGCAGAAAAUCAGUUAGACAUCACAAAGAUUUAUGAAUUAGAGAAAGAAGGGCAGUGCUUCAGGGACACAGAAACUAAGAAAAUCCUUGUGCAUCCUCAAAUGAUAGACCCAAAGAAGGCUAUGGAGGUAAUCAAUGUAUUUUAAUUCUAGAAAGACUUCCCUACACAGAAAGCUGUGUGUGUGAGCAGGAGUCCAUCUGAAUCAUAUCACUGACAAAGCAGUACUCGAUAGGAUUCAAUCUGCUGGACACCAUGCAGAAUGUGAUAUACAAAGAUAAUAGUGCUGGGAAGCAAGAUAAAAGAUGAGUAAUUUUAAUGAGGGGCACCCAGGUGGGCAAAAACAUGUGUCACAUUAUUUUGUAGAUACAAAUCAGUCCUAGAAGUCUUUGUCUUUGUUCUCACUGGGAUUGAAUACUGGAGAUGUCAUGCCUCCCUACUUCUGUCUGCAACUGGAGAGGCAGUCAGAAAGAAUUGAGUGAGAUGAAUAAACUUCAAAAUAUUUCUGAAUUUCAGGAAUAUGAAAGCUAACAAGUUUUGGAGAAGAUGAAAAAUUAUCACUGUGCAGAGAAAAUAGGCAAAAGAAGAAAGACAAUCACUGUGAGGAUUGUGGUAGACUUUGUGCUGAGGGUUAUAUUUUAUAUGUUAUAUGGAGUGAACAACCAGAUAAUUUUUUUUUUCUUUUGUUGAGAUACAUGUUUUAGGGACUUUGCCUCUGUUACAUCUGCAAGAUCUUUUCUUGCAGAGGGAAGAUAGAAAUUGAGUGGUGUAACUGCAUGCUGUAUUUUCACACGGUUUACCUGUGUGUCACAUGCAAUGUUUAAUUAAAGGUGAAGGCUGGAAAAUGGGAAGAAAAGCUGCCCCUUGGUUUGUCCAAAGUGUUGACCUGGUGUGGAAUGAAACUGUCUUUGGACAGUGUGUCCCCUGGAUUCAGUGGGGGUGGGGGUCACUUCUUGUAGAGCUCUAAGAGGAGUAGUAAGAAGCAAAGACUACCAUCUUUUGGAAAUAGUGGGACAGUGAAUAAAAAGCCACAGGGGUCACUGUGUGUUUUCUGUUGCAAGUCAGGAAAUCCUGGAAAGCUGUUGUACUACCAGCACAUCUGGAGGAAAAGGCUAGUGUGUGAAAAAUUUGUUUUUAAUGUCUUUUGUUGUAAUCUGUGACAUUCCAGAACUAAAAUUCAUUUAUUUGAAUGAUCUGUUCUUGUUUGAAAGAUGAUAAACCUAACUGUAGGGAUUUAAUGCUACUUAGUAGCUUAUAUUUUAGAAAGUAAAGAGUUUCUGUAAAAGGCAGACCUGAGCUUCACAAUGUUUCUCACUCAAGUUACAAAUUUACUAAUCUUUGUCCCACAGAUGGGCUGGAGAACUGAGAACUUUUGUAGCUUCUGGGAAAAAAGAUGCCUGUCCUGAGUUGUCAGAGUCCAAUACUUACUGGCCAAGCUCAUUUAGAUACUCCAUGCAUGGAAGCUGCAAUGUUUAAUGUAGUAUUUAUGUAUUUGAAGAUAUUUCACAUAUAGGAUUUUUCAUUUAGCAGAACAAUGUAAAAUAUAUAUUGAUAACACAAUCCAAAUGGCAAAUGUAAGUAUAUAAUUAGCAAUAUGGCAGUUUUAAUUUCCUGCUCAAUCACAAUGUGACUUCCCUACGAACCACUAUAAAUGCUCACCAUCACAAUACUGGGUGUCCACCUUUGUCAGGAAGAAAUACAUGGGUUGAAGACAGCUCAAGCCCAUUGUUUUCUCUGACGUAUCUUUGCCUGUUGUCUAGUUUUGUCUUCUGUUUUGGGAUGAAUCAUGUAUUCACCCUACCCCUCUGUGCUAGCUCAAGCAACUCAGGAAAAUAUUCACCAUCUUUAAAUGAACUCAAGGAGCUACCAGUUGAUGCAUUAAAUUGUUGGUAGGUGUUUACCUGAAGCAAAGACUUCUCUCCCUUGUGCUGAGAUGAAGUCAGCUUAUUUGCAAAAGCUAAGUUCAGUCAUAUCCUGCUUUCCUCCUUGAGCUUCAUGGAUAUCAGGCCCUAUCCAUGCUCUUCUGAGUUUAAAACCCUCAUAGUGUUUUAUUGUUCAGUCAUGUGAGGUGACACAUGAAAUGAAACUGAAAUAAGAUAUAUUUGUGAGCUGUAAAGCAACAAAAUGGUUUGGGUCAGCAGAAAUUCUUAAUUCUGAGAAUAUUUGCAAUGGUUCAUUUUAGUGCUGACCUUUUUAUGAUUGCUUUUAAUAUACACUCUGUGAAACUUAAAGCAAAAAGGUCACAUAGAAAUGUUUGCUUUACUUUAAUAUAUGUCAGAACAAGUCACUUAGGUAAUUUCCAGACACGUUCCACUGAUACUAUAUUUUGAGCGAGAAAUGAAAUUACUUCUAAAAAUUUAUUUUGUUUGUGUGCAAUCAGUAAUUUGUUUCUACUUGUUCUAUCUUAUCCACAGUUGGGAAAAACAAAACAAAACAAAACAAAACAAAACAAAACAAAACAAAAACACAACCCACUAGUCAUCUGCAUCUAUCAUUAAAAUGGCUAGAGCAAAAUGUGCUACUGUUACACUCAGGAAAGAGCCUUAGGCCAGUUACUUAAUUAAAAAAAAAAAAAAGCCAAACAAACAAA